CUAAGGUGGGAGGAUCCCUUGAGCCCAGAAUUUCAUGACCAGCCUGGGCAACAUAGCAAGACCCUGGUUCUACAAAUAGUUUUGCAGUUAGCUGGGCGUGGUGGUG